rnacentral:rRNA from 1 species
UACAGAGGGUGCAAGCGUUAAUCGGAAUUACUGGGCGUAAAGGGCGCGUAGGCGGUCUUGUAAGUCUUGUGUGAAAUCCCUCGGCUUAACUGAGGAACUGCACGGGAUACUGCGAGACUUGAGAUCGGGAGAGGGAAGCGAAAUUCCGGGUGUAGCGGUGAAAUGCGUAGAUAUCUGCAGGAACACCCGUGGCGAAGGCGGCUGACUGGAUCGCAACUGACGCUGAGGAACGAAAGCUAGGGGAGCAAACAGG